ACGGGUGAGUAACGCGUGGAUAAUCUUCCUUAAAGUGGGGAAUAACUAAUCGAAAGAUUAGCUAAUACCGCAUAAGACCACAGGGGCUUCGGCUCAAGGGGUUAAAGUCUUACGACGCUUUAAGAUGAGUCUGCGCCCGAUUAGCUAGUUGGUGAGGUAACGGCUCACCAAGGCGACGAUCGGUAGCUGGUCUGAGAGGACGACCAGCCACACUGGGACUGAGACACGGCCCAGACUCCUACGGGAGGCAGCAGUAGGGAAUAUUGCACAAUGGAGGAAACUCUGAUGCAGCGACGCCGCGUGAGUGACGAAGGCCUUCGGGUUGUAAAGCUCUGUUCUCAGGGAAAAAGAAAGUGAUUGUACCUGAGGAGAAAGGACCGGCUAACUUCGUGCCAGCAGCCGCGGUAAGACGAGGGGUCCUAGCGUUGUUCGGAAUUAUUGGGCGUAAAGCGGGUGUAGGUGGCUUUGUAAGUCAGGAGUGAAAUCCCCGAGCUUAACUCGGGAAGUGCUUUUGAAACUGCAAAGCUUGAAUGUGGGAGAGGAUCGUGGAAUUCCAGGUGUAGUGGUGAAAUACGUAGA
rnacentral:rRNA from 1 species